rnacentral:misc_RNA from 1 species
UCUCCGUAGGUGAACCUGCGGAGGGAUCAUUACUGAGUGAGGGCUUCGGUCCGACCUCCAACCCUUUGUGAACACAACUUGUUGCUUCGGGGGCGACCCUGCCGUUUCGACGGCGAGCGCCCCCGGAGGCCUUCAAACACUGCAUCUUUGCGUCGGAGUUUAAGUAAAUUAAACAAAACUUUCAACAACGGAUCUCUUGGUUCUGGCAUCGAUGAAGAACGCCAGC